rnacentral:lncRNA from 1 species
UCAGACUUUGUAAAAAUGACUGGCUGCCUCUCGUGGACUGACAUUUGUUGCACUGCAUUUAGGACAGUAUGCCCCUGGGGAUUGAUACCCCUUUGCUUCCAUCUUGCUGGAGAGUUUUAGUAUCUACAAUUGCAGGCUUUUAAAAAUGUAAGCCCUGGAAGGUAUUUCCUGCUCCAUUUACAGCCGUUGUUUUCUGUAACUUGAGAGAAAACUCAAAUGCUGCUAUCUCAGUGACACCAACUACACAUCCGCAGCCAGAGUCAUCAGGAUUUGGAAACCAUUUUCCCAAAUCCAAGCUCCAACCCGCUGGGGUCUGUCACACGGAAGACACCUGAUGAGAGUUGCAGUGAUGACUGACCGUGGCAGUGUUUCUGUAGCUCAGAAGAGGGAAAUCGUACUUCAGGUGGAAACGGGAAAGGAGAUCAGCAAAGACUUUCAGGAAAAGCCCCAUGCUAUCCUGGGAAACAGCAGCUUUCCAGUGCUAGAAGGCAGACUGAGCUUGCAGCUCUUCAUAAAAUCCCACACUGGAGGGCAUUGUUUCUGA